GAUGAAGAACGUAGCGAAAUGCGAUACGUAAUGUGAAUUGCAGAAUUCAGUGAAUCAUCGAGUCUUUGAACGCACAUUGCGCCCCCUGGUAUUCCGGGGGGCAUGCCUGUCCGAGCGUCAUUGCUGCCCUCAAGCACGGCUUGUGUGUUGGGCCUCCGUCCUCCUCCCGGGGGACGGGCCCGAAAGGCAGCGGCGGCACCGCGUCCGGUCCUCGAGCGUAUGGGGCUUCGUCACCCGCUCUUGUAGGCCCGGCCGGCGCUUGCCGACACAUCAAUCUUUUUUCCAGGUUGACCUCGGAUCAGGUAGGGAUAACCGCUGAACUUAAGCAUAUCAAUAAGCGGAGGA
rnacentral:misc_RNA from 1 species